GGUCUUGGACUACGUGAAUGCUUAUACUGAAUGUGGCAACUGCACCAUCGUGAUGUUACCUACAAUUCGCCCGGACGCCUGUGCAUUGUUCGUGAAUAACCCGGACGUCCCCCCGAGUCGCUGCUGUCUCUUUGCAUAUGCGCUCUUGUGUGGAAGCACCAAGAUCCCAAGCUACGAAAAGGACAAAUGCGCCAACGUGUAAACCAUUACUUUGCCUACAUGUCUGCAUGCUGUUCACGGUGUUUUGCCUGUGUGAAGCUUAAGCUUGGAACUACCAAUAAAUCUCGUGUCUUCAGAAUGCUA